GAUGAACGCUGGCGGCGUGCCUAAUACAUGCAAGUCGAGCGAACGGACGAGAAGCUUGCUUUUCUGAUGUUAGCGGCGGACGGGUGAGUAACACGUGGAUAACCUACCUAUAAGACUGGGAUAACUUCGGGAAACCGGAGCUAAUACCGGAUAAUAUUUUGAACCGCAUGGUUCAAAAGUGAAAGACGGUCUUGCUGUCACUUAUAGAUGGAUCCGCGCUGCAUUAGCUAGUUGGUAAGGUAACGGCUUACCAAGGCAACGAUGCAUAGCCGACCUGAGAGGGUGAUCGGCCACACUGGAACUGAGACACGGUCCAGACUCCUACGGGAGGCAGCAGUAGGGAAUCUUCCGCAAUGGGCGAAAGCCUGACGGAGCAACGCCGCGUGAGUGAUGAAGGUCUUCGGAUCGUAAAACUCUGUUAUUAGGGAAGAACAUAUGUGUAAGUAACUGUGCACAUCUUGACGGUACCUAAUCAGAAAGCCACGGCUAACUACGUGCCAGCAGCCGCGGUAAUACGUAGGUGGCAAGCGUUAUCCGGAAUUAUUGGGCGUAAAGCGCGCGUAGGCGGUUUUUUAAGUCUGAUGUGAAAGCCCACGGCUCAACCGUGGAGGGCCAUUGGAAACUGGAAAACUUGAGUGCAGAAGAGGAAAGUGGAAUUCCAUGUGUAGCGGUGAAAUGCGCAGAGAUGUGGAGGAACACCAGUGGCGAAGGCGACUUUCUGGUCUGUAACUGACGCUGAUGUGCGAAAGCGUGGGGAUCAAACAGGAUUAGAUACCCUGGUAGUCCACGCCGUAAACGAUGAGUGCUAAGUGUUAGGGGGUUUCCGCCCCUUAGUGCUGCAGCUAACGCAUUAAGCACUCCGCCUGGGGAGUACGACCGCAAGGUUGAAACUCAAAGGAAUUGACGGGGGCCCGCACAAGCGGUGGAGCAUGUGGUUUAAUUCGAAGCAACGCGAAGAACCUUACCAAAUCUUGACAUCCUUUGACAACUCUAGAGAUAGAGCCUUCCCCUUCGGGGGACAAAGUGACAGGUGGUGCAUGGUUGUCGUCAGCUCGUGUCGUGAGAUGUUGGGUUAAGUCCCGCAACGAGCGCAACCCUUAAGCUUAGUUGCCAUCAUUAAGUUGGGCACUCUAAGUUGACUGCCGGUGACAAACCGGAGGAAGGUGGGGAUGACGUCAAAUCAUCAUGCCCCUUAUGAUUUGGGCUACACACGUGCUACAAUGGACAAUACAAAGGGCAGCGAAACCGCGAGGUCAAGCAAAUCCCAUAAAGUUGUUCUCAGUUCGGAUUGUAGUCUGCAACUCGACUACAUGAAGCUGGAAUCGCUAGUAAUCGUAGAUCAGCAUGCUACGGUGAAUACGUUCCCGGGUCU
rnacentral:rRNA from 1 species